rnacentral:lncRNA from 1 species
CCGUCACCGAAUUAAAAAUUUGGAUAGUCCGGCACUAAAGCACAGUGAGUUGUUUGCAAGUCACCGAGGUAGCUUAAGAUUAGAGGGACACAUAUUUCCAUAUCCCAUCAGAGCAAUCCUUGACAGUAGAGUACUUUGGAGGUGGUCACGCUCAGUGAAUUGUACUCCUACAUAUCACCCGUAUGCCAUAUCUAUGUCGCCACACGCCUUGAUUAAGAGGACAACCAACUAAUAUAGCACACAAUAACCUGCACUCAAUACAA